rnacentral:rRNA from 1 species
CCUACGGGUGGCAGCAGUGGGGGAUAUUGCACAAUGGGGGAAACCCUGAUGCAGCGACGCCGCGUGGGUGAAGAAGCGCCUCGGCGCGUACAGCCCUGUCAGCAGGGAAGAAAAUGACGGUACCUGAAGAAGAAGCCCCGGCUAACUACGUGCCAGCAGCCGCGGUAAUACGUAGGGGGCACGCGGUAUCCGGAUUUACUGGGUGUAAAGGGGGCGUAGGCGGCGAUGCCAGCCAGGAGUGAAAGCCCGGGGCCCAACCCCGGGACUGCUCUUGAAACUGCGUGGCUAGAGUGCAGGAGGGGCAGGCGGAAUUCCUGGUGUAGCGGUGAAAUGCGUAGAUAUCAGGAGGAACACCGGUGGCGAAGGCGGCCUGCUGGACUGCAACUGACGUUGAGGCCCGAAAGCGUGGGGAGCAAACAGGAUUAGAUACCCGAGUAGUC